rnacentral:rRNA from 1 species
CGCGCGCGACAUGGUCUCUGGUGAACACCAAAGGCGUAAAAAACAUAACUUGAAACUGUGCGGGAUUACGGGCGAGACUCUCUGCUCGUCCCUCCAUCCCCGGGUGUUAUACCAGGCAUGCCGUGGCCCUCGGGCCGCGGUGCCAUAACAUACCGCGAGUGUGCAGGAUGUGACCCGAAAGAUGGUGAACUAUGCCUGAUCAGGUUGAAGUCAGGGGAAACCCUGAUGGAGGACCGAAGCAGUUCUGACGUGCAAAUCGAUUGUCAGAAUUGGGCAUAGGGGCGAAAGACCAAUCGAACCAUCUAGUAGCUGUUUUCCUUCCGAA